UUUUUUCAAACAAGGUCAAAGAGUUUCAACCUGAGAACUAGCAAUGUGGAUGGAAUGAUUUCCUUCAUAUGAGUUCUAUUAGGUUCCUUUAUUUGAGUUAUUUCCUUUUCUUCAUUUCCCUCCAAAAAAUAUAUCAGAAGGAGAUAAUUACAUGAGUUGAUACAUAGGGCAAGGCUCUCUUCUCACUUGUAGUGAGGAUACAUCAACAGCAUUAGAAGAAGGAUAUCAUAUGAUAGUGUUUUCUUUUGGUGAUGUUGUAGAGUAGCAGAAGGAAUCAUUUUUUUCUUUAUGGUUGCAGCUUCUAAAAUGCACUGAAGUACUGUACUUGAGAAUGUAAAUAUUAUGCUGGUAUUUUUUUUUAGGAAUUGAAGAGUUUAUUUAAUCUUAUUUAUUCUAUAUAGUAUCAUCAAAUUUGUAAUCAAAUACAAUUGGUUCAUUUAA
rnacentral:lncRNA from 1 species